rnacentral:rRNA from 1 species
GCCAAAUAGCUAGCCAAACACUUGGUUUAAUUUUUUACCAUAAAUAACCCCACACAACCUUAGAAUUCGUGAACAAAUCAUUUUCCCUCCUUAGUACGGGCGACAGAAAAGGACAACUUGAGCAAUAGAGAAAGUACCGCAAGGGAAAGCUGAAAGAGAAAUGAAAUAACCCAUAUAAGCACCGAAAAGCAAAGAUUAAAACUUGUACCUUUUGCAUCAUGAUCUAGCCAGUAAACCCAAGCAAAGAGAACUUUAGUUUGGGCCCCCGAAACUGGACGAGCUACUCCGAGGCAGCCUAUUGCAGGGCUUAUCCGUCUCUGUUGCAAAAGAGUGGAGAGAACUCCGAGUAGAAGUGAAAUACCUAUCGAGUCUAGUUAUAGCUGGUUGUUUAGGAAAUGAAUAGGAGUUCAGCCCCCAGGCUUUUUAAACCCAUAAGAUCCUUCUUCUUAAGGUAGAGAGAAACCAGGGGAGUUAUUCAAUGGAGGUACAGCUCCUUUGAACCAGGACACAACCUUAACAGGCGGUCAAGGAUCAUAAUUUUCAAGGUACACUGUUUCAGUGGGCUUAAGGGCAGCCACCUGAUUAGAAAGCGUUAAAGCUCAGACAGCAUACACCUCUUAUUCUGAUAGCCUAUCCCCCACCCCUAAUUUUACUAAACCGCCCCAUGCCCCCAUGGGAGCGACCAUGCUAGAAUGAGUAAUAAGAGGGACAUACGCCCCUCUCCUCGCACAUGUGUAAGUCGGACCGGACCCCCCACCGACAAGUAACGAACCCAAUACAAGAGGGCAUUUUGGACUUUAAUGCAAUCAAGAAGCACCCGAAAAAGUAAUCGUUAACCCCACACAGGUGUGCACUGAGGAAAGACUAAAAGGGGGACAAGGAACUCGGCAAACACAAGCCUCGCCUGUUUACCAAAAACAUCGCCUCUUGAACACUACACAUAAGAGGUCCCGCCUGCCCGGUGACCCUGGGUUAAACGGCCGCGGUAUUUUAACCGUGCGAAGGUAGCGCAAUCACUUGUCCUUUAAAUGAAGACCUGUAUGAAUGGCUAGACGAGGGCUUAACUGUCUCCUCCCCCCAGUCAGUGAAAUUGAUCUCCCCGUGCAGAAGCGGGGAUUAGCACAUAAGACGAGAAGACCCUAUGGAGCUUUAGACACUAGACAGCCCACGUUACACCCCCUCCCCCGAGAGGGGAAAACAUUGUGGCUCCUGUCUCCACUGUCUUCGGUUGGGGCGACCGCGGAGGAUAAGAAAGCCUCCAUGUGGACCAAGGUUACGAACCUCACAACUAAGGGCUGCCGCCCUAAGAAACAGAAAUUCUGACCAGAAUGAUCCGGCCUAGAGCCGAUUAACGGAACAAGUUACCCUAGGGAUAACAGCGCAAUCCUCUCCCAGAGUCCCUAUCGACGAGGGGGUUUACGACCUCGAUGUUGGAUCAGGACAUCCUAUUGGUGCAGCCGCUAAUAAGGGUUCGUUUGUUCAACGAUUAAAGUCCUACGUGAUCUGAGUUCAGACCGGAGCAAUCCAGGUCAGUUUCUAUCUAUGAAAUGAUUCCUCCCAGUACGAAAGGACCGGAGAGAAGAGGCCCAUGCUCAAGGCACGCCCCACCCUCACCUGCUGAAGGCAACUAAAACAGAAAAGAGGGCAUACCCGGGUGUGCCAAAGAGUAUGGCAUCCUAGUGUGGCAGGAUCUAGAAAAUAAUUCUGAACCACGAAC